rnacentral:misc_RNA from 1 species
UGGCUCUCGCAUCGAUGAAGAACGCAGCGAAAUGCGAUAAGUAAUGUGAAUUGCAGAAUUCAGUGAAUCAUCGAAUCUUUGAACGCACCUUGCGCUCCUUGGUAUUCCGAGGAGCAUGCCUGUUUGAGUGUCUUGAAGUCAUCAACCCCUCCGGUUUUUCGAAACGGGAGACGGUUGGAUAUGGGGGCUUGCUGCCGAAAGGCUGCUCCCCUCAAAUGCGUCGGUUGGACCUGUGGGUCGAACUCGUUGGGCGUUGUAUCAUCCUCGCUCUGACAGAGAUGGUUCCCCUUUGGUUGUCCUUCCCCGACUUGCCGUCAGAGUGGCAGUCAACUCUUUGAAAUCUGACCUCAAAUCAGGUAGGACUACCCGCUGA